rnacentral:rRNA from 1 species
AGUGAACGCUGGCGGUAGGCCUAACACAUGCAAGUCGAACGGCAGCACAGGAGAGCUUGCUCUCUGGGUGGCGAGUGGCGGACGGGUGAGGAAUACAUCGGAAUCUACCUUUUCGUGGGGAAUAACGUAGGGAAACUUACGCUAAUACCGCAUACGACCUACGGGUGAAAGUGGGGGACCGCAAGGCCUCACGCGAUUAG